rnacentral:piRNA from 1 species
UCUCUAGUGAGUUGUUAGCAGUCUUUGUU